CUGACCGAGGUGAUGAGUAAUCACGCUUUAAUUUCGAUCCAUUCUUCUUUGAGCGAUGUCGGCGAGGAGCAAGAAGAACGAGAAAAGCAACUACGGCAAGAAGAGGACAGCGGCCAACUCUCGCCCCAAUCUACGCACAUCCAAAGCAUUGCUUUCCGAGUCCUGUGCUGCGAUGAGAAGGCCCCUGGGAACGAGGGUACGGACAACUAAUCCCUCCUCAUGACAUCCUCGUCCUGCGUCAUCCCCACUUUCCUCGAGCGAUGGGCAUUCUGGCCCGGUCGCAUAACCCCCCCCCUUGCCACGGCUCUGAGCCAUCCCACCAAGUCAGCAUGCAC
ensembl:lncRNA